rnacentral:miRNA from 1 species
CAUGCUCCCUCGCGGUUCCCAUAAUUCCCAGCAUCUACACAUCAUAGAGGAAUCACUACUCUAUGAUAUGUCCAUGCUGGGAAUUAUGGGAACCGCGAGGGAGCAU